rnacentral:rRNA from 1 species
AUUGAACGCUGGCGGCAUGCCUUACACAUGCAAGUCGAACGGCAGCAUGGGUGCUUGCACCUGAUGGCGAGUGGCGAACGGGUGAGUAAUGCAUCGGAACGUACCCGGAAGUGGGGGAUAACGUAGCGAAAGUUACGCUAAUACCGCAUAUUCUGUGAGCAGGAAAGCGGGGGAUCGCAAGACCUCGCGCUUCCGGAGCGGCCGAUGUCGGAUUAGCUAGUUGGCGGGGUAAAGGCCCACCAAGGCAACGAUCCGUAGCGGGUCUGAGAGGAUGAUCCGCCACACUGGGACUGAGACACGGCCCAGACUCCUACGGGAGGCAGCAGUGGGGAAUUUUGGACAAUGGGCGCAAGCCUGAUCCAGCCAUGCCGCGUGAGUGAAGAAGGCCUUCGGGUUGUAAAGCUCUUUCGACGGGGAAGAAAUCGCAUCUCCUAAUACGGGGUGUGGAUGACGGUACCCGAAUAAGAAGCACCGGCUAACUACGUG